CCCAGGUCUUAUUUUUAAAACGAAUUUUCCAAAUUCAUAAAUAUGUUUCAAAAGUCUUUAGCAUUUUUCCAAAGAUCUCCCUGCUUGGCUCUGCGCCCCCUCACUCUUUUGGGUGCAGACUACUUAAGAAAUUUGUAAUAUCCACAGCACCUCUCAAUGACUCAGAAUUCUGAGUCACUGACUAAUUGCUGGGACUGCAAGGAAGCUGUUAAAAUGAUCUGCACCCAAAGAGGUGCAGACCACAAUGUAGCCCAUGUACCAGCAUAGCUAAGGGGAGUGGGCCUUGACAUUGCUAGGAGACAGGCAUAGAAUGGCGUUGGUGUUUUGGCUUGGUUGCAUUGUGGAAGGAACUUACAGGGUAUAUAUAAAAGGAGCCAUUUUAGGUUAAGGGAACAUUUUAACUUAAUUUGCACUUACCUGUUGUUGUCCAAACCUCCCUCCCUAGUUUUUCUCCUGUUUGGUCACGGCGGAGGGGGAUGGAUAGAAAAGUUGGGGGGUAGGUCAGAUUAAUAACUGGUAAAUGUUUAGUUCAGGAAAAAUAGGUAGGCGUUUGAACUGGUUUGGUAGGUUCGAGCUUGUUGGUAGCUCAGUACCUGGGGAUGCAGAGGUAUCUUGGUAUAUCCCUACCCGUGAAAAUGGAUGCCAUUGGUGGCAAUGGUUAUGUGUUCAAUGUUAAUUAUAUUGUCUUAUAAUGUUGUUGGGAUUUAUUGUUUAUGUAGGGUCAUUGUCUGGGGGUUAUAAUUGUAUAAAGGCAGGAUAAUGGAUUU